ensembl:snoRNA LOC120100290 small nucleolar RNA SNORD115
GAGUCAGUAAUGACAACAGAAAGUCAAGAAUAGGAUGAUGACAUAAAAAUCAUGCUCUAUGGGAUUACAUUGAGUCC